rnacentral:rRNA from 2 species
GCCGGAAGACCAAGGGUUCCUGUCCAACGUUAAUCGGGGCAGGGUGAGUCGACCCCUAAGGCGAGGCCGAAAGGCGUAGUCGAUGGGAAACAGGUUAAUAUUCCUGUACUUGGUGUUACUGCGAAGGGGGGACGGAGAAGGCUAUGUCAGCCGGGCGACGGUUGUCCCGGUUUAAGCAUGUAGGCGGAGGUUCCAGGUAAAUCCGGUACCUUUUAACGCUGAGGUGUGAUGACGAGGCACUACGGUGCUGAAGUGAUAAAUGCCCUGCUUCCAGGAAAAGCCUCUAAGCAUCAGGUAACACGAAAUCGUACCCCAAACCGACACAGGUGGUCAGGUAGAGAAUACCAAGGCGCUUGAGAGAACUCGGGUGAAGGAACUAGGCAAAAUGGUGCCGUAACUUCGGGAGAAGGCACGCUGAUGUGUAGGUGAAGCCCCUGCGGGCGGAGCUGAAAUCAGUCGAAGAUACCAGCUGGCUGCAACUGUUUAUUAAAAACACAGCACUGUGCAAACACGAAAGUGGACGUAUACGGUGUGACGCCUGCCCGGUGCCGGAAGGUUAAUUGAUGGGGUUAGCGGCAACGCGAAGCUCUUGAUCGAAGCCCCGGUAAACGGCGGCCGUAACUAUAACGGUCCUAAGGUAGCGAAAUUCCUUGUCGGGUAAGUUCCGACCUGCACGAAUGGCGUAAUGAUGGCCAGGCUGUCUCCACCCGAGACUCAGUGAAAUUGAACUCGCUGUGAAGAUGCAGUGUACCCGCGGCAAGACGGAAAGACCCCGUGAACCUUUACUAUAGCUUGACACUGAACACUGGUCCUUGAUGUGUAGGAUAGGUGGGAGGCUUUGAAGCGUGGACGCCAGUCUGCGUGGAGCCAACCUUGAAAUACCACCCUUUAAUGGCUGGUGUUCUAACGUAGACCCGUAAUCCGGGUUGCGGACAGUGUCUGGUGGGUAGUUUGACUGGGGCGGUCUCCUCCCAAAGAGUAACGGAGGAGCACGAAGGUUGGCUAAUCCUGGUCGGACAUCAGGAGGUUAGUGCAAUGGCAUAAGCCAGCUUGACUGCGAGCGUGACGGCGCGAGCAGGUGCGAAAGCAGGUCAUAGUGAUCCGGUGGUUCUGAAUGGAAGGGCCAUCGCUCAACGGAUAAAAGGUACUCCGGGGAUAACAGGCUGAUACCGCCCAAGAGUUCAUAUCGACGGCGGUGUUUGGCACCUCGAUGUCGGCUCAUCACAUCCUGGGGCUGAAGUAGGUCCCAAGGGUAUGGCUGUUCGCCAUUUAAAGUGGUACGCGAGCUGGGUUUAGAACGUCGUGAGACAGUUCGGUCCCUAUCUGCCGUGGGCGCUGGAGAAUUGAGGGGGGCUGCUCCUAGUACGAGAGGACCGGAGUGGACGCAUCACUGGUGUUCGGGUUGUCAUGCCAAUGGCACUGCCCGGUAGCUAAAUGCGGAAGAGAUAAGUGCUGAAAGCAUCUAAGCACGAAACUUGCCCCGAGAUGAGUUCUCCCUGAGACUUUAAGUCUCCUGAAGGAACGUUAAAGACGAUGACGUUGAUAGGUCGGGUGUGUAAGCGCAGCGAUGCGUUGAGCUAACCGAUACUAAUGAACCGUGAGGCUUAACCUU